rnacentral:miRNA from 14 species
GUGUGACGUCACGUGUGAUGUCAUGUGUGACGUCAUGUGUGACGUCACAUGUGACGUCACGUGUGAUGUCACGUGUGA